CUUCAGGGGUGAUUAGAAAUUUCACUUCUUUUGCUAUUUCUUCUGGUUGAAACUCUGUUACAAGACUUUUGAUCACGUGUGACAAAACCCAGAAAACUCUCUCUUUUGGUCUGAAUCUGCCGAUAGGGAAAAACAGACCCUUCAGCUUCCUGUUCUUUAUCUCAUGGUUGAUUAAUAGAGAUUAAAACUCUAUGCUCUCAGAAGUAUGCCAUAUUUGGGAAAAACAUCCAUUUCCUGUUUUGCAGCCUAUAAUUUAUGUUUGCAGCUUGCAAAACCACAGUGUAAUCCACCUCAUAUAAAAGCUUGUAUUUAAAAGCUCCAAAGAUAUUUUGAGUGGGGUUGAUACUGCUUGCGAUAUUCUCCAUCAUAUUAGUUUCCUAACUUGUCUGGUUUUUGUCUCAGAUAGUUUGGUGCCAUGACCCAGGAUCUGAACUUAUCUUCAGAUUUUCAUUUACCCUAGCCAGGUCAUAAGGCCAUUUGGAACCUUUUGUACUCCAUUUCUGGCUGGAAGUCCAGAGAUCUAAAGUUUCUUUGGAGUUUCCAUCAAGACACAGUUUGCACUGAUGAUCACCAUGGCCUCCAGUUUUCAACUGGGCACCUAGAACCUAAUAUGUCUCACUGCUUGCAGCUUGUCAAGUCCACAGUGAAUGCAUACCUAAGAGGACCAAGAAAGUCAACACUUUUUUACCUUCCACAAAGGAGAAUAACAUCCCUGGGCAGUCAUGCCUCAGGGGUACCCUGAAGCCGUGUACUGUUUUUCUCAGGAAAGGAUUUACUGAAAAGAGGCACCAAUUUUCUCCAUACAAUUUAUAUGAGUCCCAGUCUAUUCUUUCUCAUGACUUCAAUAAGAGUUGUGUGUCUAGGUGUCUAUGGACAAUUAGUUUUUGACAAAGAUGCCAAGACCAUUCAAAGGGAAAAGAAUAGUGUUUUUAAUAAAUUAAUCUGGGAUAAUUUAAUAUAGUCACAUGGAUGGCUUAUGGAUUCUUAACUCACACUAUAUAAAAAUUAACUCAAAAUGGAUAAAAAUAUGUGAGUGUAAGAACUAAAACUAUGGAGUUCUUAGAAGAAAACAGUGGUAAAUCUUCAUGAACUCAGUUGUGGCAGUGGAUUUUUAGAUAUGACCUCAAAACAUAGGCAACAAGAGGAAAAACAGAUAAAUUGAGCUUCAUCAAAAUAAAGAAAUAAAAAGCAUUCAAAUUGGCAGAGAAGAAGUCAAACUCUCAAUCUUCAUACAUGACACGAUACUUUAUGUG